GAUGAACGCUAGCUGCAGGCCUAAUACAUGCAAGUCGAACGGUGCCAUCAAUGUCACAGUGGCGCACGGGUGCGUACCGCGUAGGCAAUCUGCCUACUCCUGGGGGAUAGCCCGCCGAAAGGUGGAUUAAUACCGUCUAAGACUACAGGGCGGCAUCGCCUAGUAGUUAAAGAAUCUUGGUAGUAGAUGGGCCUGCGUGCCAUUAGCGAGUUGGUGCGGUAACGGCGAACCAAGGCGACGAUGGCUAGGGGACCUGGGAGGCCGAUCCCCCACACUGGCACUGAGAUACGGGCCAGACUCCUACGGGAGGCAGCAGUAGGGAAUAUUGGGCAAUGGGCGCGAGCCUGACCCAGCCAUGCCGCGUGACGGAUGAAGGCCUUCUGGGUUGUAAACGUCUUUUGAUCGGGAAGAAAAAGCCCUUGCGAGGGAAACCGACGGUACCGAUUGAAUAAGCACCGGCUAACUCCGUGCCAGCAGCCGCCGUAAGAC
rnacentral:rRNA from 1 species